GCGCGAAACCUUCACAAUGCACGAGAGUGUGAUGAGGGGACUCAGAGUGCUUUACUUUGUAAAGCUUUUGCCAAGAGCAAAUAUCUUGGAGAAUAAGUGGUGGGCAAGACUGGUGCCAGCCGCCGCGGUAAUACCAGCUCCACGAGUGGGAACUACAAUUAUUGGGCCUAAAGCGUCCGUAGCCGGUUUAAUAAAUUUCUUGUGAAAUUGUUGCGCUUAACGUAACAACGUGCAGGAAAGACUGUUAAACUUGGGACUGGGAGGGGUUAGAAGUAUCUCUGGGGUAGCGGUAAAAUGUUAUAAUCCUAGAGAGACUACCUAUGGUGAAGGCAUCUAACUAGAACAGGUCCGACGGUGAGGGACGAAAGCUAGGGGAGCAAAACGG
rnacentral:rRNA from 1 species